GUAAGACCCCUUGUAGACGACGAGGUAGAUAGGUUGGAGGUGGAAGUGCAGCAAUGCAUGGAGCUGACCAAUACUAAUCGGUCGAGGGCUUAUCCA
rnacentral:rRNA from 1 species